rnacentral:lncRNA from 1 species
UACUACUUGGUCUUUAUCAGAAGUUAAAGAGGUUCUAAAGUUUGAAGCUGCAGAAUUAAGAGUCUGUCAAUGGAGCAAAAAACAGGCAAGAGGACAAGCCAACCUGAAAACUAUGAAGUCAGAAGUGACAGAGGUGAUGGUAAUCAGAUGGUGUCUAAUGUUUGCAACACUGGCUGCUGUGUAAGAUACAUUUGGAAAAAGGUAAAUAUGAGUAUUAGAUAGGUCUUUAAUGUCUUGUACAUCUGUAUUCCUCUAGAGAGGAGGCUCCCACAUUAUCUCAGUUCAUCAUAUCCUUAUAAUCUCUCUCUUUUUUUUUUCACAGUGCUUCUAAGCUCUGAGACUUAACUACUAGUUCUGUUAAGCAGCUGUGCUCCAAAACAGGAAGUGCAUAUGUUCUACCAAUUGAAUAUUUGUUUGGAAAACAAACUCAAACUUCAACACACUGAAAGAAAUAUCAGUUUAUUAAUAGCAAAAUUAUAUUCCAGUGAGGAUAUGUGUGUCUACUUGAGAACCACAUAGUUUCUGAAAAUCAAGAUCAGGUAAGAUACACAAAACUUAAUUUUCUAUUUGGAGCUGAUUUUUCUCAGCAGCCACAAAGAUAAGAAACUCUGAGAAAAAAAAGAGAAUAUACAGUUCAAUUUUAAUUUUUUGUGUGUGUGCGUGCGUGCGCAUGCACGCACAUACGAGCAUGUGUGUGUGUGUGUGUGUGUGUGUGUGUGUGUCCAUCAUCAAGGAUCCCAGCAGCAGGAUGUUCCUUGGAGCCAGAAUUAUAGGUGUUUUGUGAGCCACCUAAUGUAGGUAUUUGAAUCUA